rnacentral:tRNA from 1 species
GGGAAUAGCUUAGUGGUAGAGUGCAUGCUUAGCAUGCAUGAGGUCCUGGGUUCAAUCCCCAGUACCUA